rnacentral:rRNA from 1 species
AGAGAGAGACAUGCGCGCAUAUCAAUAAGCGGAGGAAAAGAAACUAACAAGGAUUCCCUUAGUAACGGCGAGUGAAGCGGGAAGAGCUCAAAUUUGAAAUCUUCAAGGUUCUACCUUGACGAAUUGUAGUUUAUAGAAGUGUUUUCUGUUAGUGGAGUGGCAAAAGUUCUUUGGAAUAGGACAUCAUAGAGGGUGAGAAUCCCGUAUUUGGUCAUUCCUCCUAGCGUUGUGAUACACUUUCAACGAGUCGGAUUGUUUGGGAAUGCAGUCCAAAAUGGGUGGUAAAUUUCAUCUAAAGCUAAAUAUUGGCGAGAGACCGAUAGCGAACAAGUACCGUGAGGGAAAGAUGAAAAGAACUUUGAAAAGAGAGUUAAACAGUACAUGAAAUUGUCAAAAGGGAAGCGUUUGACACCAGUGUUGUUUUUCCGAAAAUCAAUUACGAAUGUUUUGUUUUUGAGGAGUUAUGACUUCAUCGGCUUGCUUCUUUCUUUACGAAACUUUCUUAAUGCACUUUUCGGUUAACAAGUCAACAUCAAUUUCUUUUGUUGUAAAAGGGUAUGAGGAAGGUGGCUUUCUUUUCGGAGAAAGUGUUUAUAGCCUUGUGCCUCUGCAAUCGGAGAGAUUGAGGUCUGCAGCGUAGAUCCUUCGGGGUUAGAUACAGUUUGUGCUAAGUUAUAGCUUUUCAUAGACAACUUGUUGACUAUGUUUAGUCUUGUAGCUUACUCGCUUAUGCUAUUUUACCUACGCUUAGGAUGUUGAUAGUCACAGCGUGUAC